rnacentral:rRNA from 1 species
AUACGUAGGGAGCGAGCGUUGUCCGGAAUUACUGGGUGUAAAGGGUGCGUAGGCGGGGAUGCAAGUCAGAUGUGAAAUGUAUGGGCUCAACCCAUGAACUGCAUUUGAAACUGCAACUCUUGAGUGAGGUAGAGGUAAGCGGAAUUCCUAGUGUAGCGGUGAAAUGCGUAGAUAUUAGGAGGAACAUCGGUGGCGAAGGCGGGUAACUGGACUGCAACUGACGCUGAGGCGCGAAAGUGUGGGGAGCAAACAGGAUUAGAUACCCUGGUAGUCCACACUGUAAACGAUGAAUGCUAGGUGUAGGAGGUAUCGACCCCUUCUGUGCCGCAGUAAACACAGUAAGCAUUCCGCCUGGGGAGUACGGUCGCAAGAUUAAAACUCAAAGGAAUUGACGGGG